CCAAUCUCAGGUUGCAGCAACGCCUAUGCCUCAAACAUACCAAAAUAAAAUGGUUUGGAUCCUCUGCAACGACUGUGGGAAAACGUCAGAGGUGAAUUUUCACAUUGUGGCUCACAAGUGCUUAAAAUGUAAAUCCUACAACACAAGGCAGACACAAGGAGGGCCUAUUUCAUACUCAUCUAGGAUUGCUGAGAGGGUGCAGUGACAUAUUUUUUCAUGCUAGAUAGGAUUACCAAGACAGUGAGAUGAUCGACUUAAGUUAUCUGAGGUAUCACUAUCUCAAGGUUCAAAUGCAACAGUUCCAUAACAGCAGCGACUUCUACCUAAGGGGAAGAGUGGGGGUAUUAAUUUUUCUAUUCCUCUCUUCCUUUGUUGGGUAAUAUGUGCAUUCCUGGGCUUAUAAUUAGUUACUCUAAUAAAUUACCUUUUCAAAGAAUGUAAUCCAAUGUACUUCGGCUUUACAGAUGUAGAAAUGGAGUUUGUUUUUAUUUUGAGAUUUCGAUAA